rnacentral:SRP_RNA from 2 species
GCUGGGUGUGGUGGCGCACACCUGUAGUCUCAGCUACUUGGGAGGCUGAGGCAGAAGAAUUGCUUGAACCCAGGAGGCGGAGGUUGCAGUGAGCCAAGAUUGCACCACUGCACUCCAGCCUGGGUGACAGAGCAAGACUCCAUCUCAA